rnacentral:rRNA from 1 species
CAAUAGCGUAUAUUUAAGUUGUUGCAGUUAAAAAGCUCGUAGUUGGAUUUCGGUUAAGAGCGACCGGUCCGCCGUUUGGUGUGCACUGGUUGGUUUUAACUUCCUGUAGAGGACGUGCUCUGGGUUUAACGACCUGGACUCGGAGUCUACGUGGUUACUUUGAAAAAAUUAGAGUGUUCAAAGCGGGCUUACGCUUGAAUAUUUCAGCAUGGAAUAACACUAUAGGACUCCUGUCCUAUUUCGUUGGUCUCGGGACGGGAGUAAUGAUUAAGAGGAACAGUUGGGGGCAUUCGUAUUUCAUUGUCAGAGGUGAAGUUCUUGGAUUUAUGAAAGACGAACUUCUGCGAAAGCAUUUGCCAAGGAUGUUUUCAUUAA